AAUCUUACUUGGAAAGAGAGAUCCCACAAUCCUCUCAGCUGAUCAAGUGUAGUCACAGGGUGAGGCCUGUCCUUUGCAUUCCAGACAGGCUGACCCCUGUGAGCUUCCCCAAAUGCAGGCAACUCAACUGCACAGUUUUGUGGCAAUGGGAGACUGUAUUCACACUUUCCCU